CCUACGGGUGGCAGCAGUGAGGAAUAUUGGUCAAUGGACGCAAGUCUGAACCAGCCAUGCCGCGUGCAGGAAGACGGCUCUGUGAGUUGUAAACUGCUUUUGUACGAGGGUAAACGCAGAUACGCGUAUCUGUCUGAGAGUAUCGUACGAAUAAGGAUCGGCUAACUCCGUGCCAGCAGCCGCGGUAAUACGGAGGAUUCAAGCGUUAUCCGGAUUUAUUGGGUUUAAAGGGUGCGUAGGCGGUCGGAUAAGUUAGAGGUGAAAUCCCGAGGCUCAACUUCGGAAUUGCCUCUGAUACUGUGCGGCUAGAGAGGAGUUGCGGUAGGCGGAAUGUGUGGUGUAGCGGUGAAAUGCUUAGAGAUCAUACAGAACUCCGAUUGCGAAGGCAGCUUACCAAGCUACUUCUGACGCUGAGGCACGAAAGCGUGGGGAGCAAACAGGAUUAGAUACCCUUGUAGUC
rnacentral:rRNA from 1 species